UUGCUCACUUUGGCAGAUGCCCCAAAACCGAAGCAAUACACGGAAGAUAAACAUGGCCCCUGUGCAAGGACGACCCGCAGAUUCGUGAGGCGGUCUGUAUUUUA